UUCAUUAUAGUGUUAAUAAUUUAUUCAAAGUUUUUCCACUAUGUCAAAACGGAUGCAUUAAAAGAGAGUGACACUGAGGUGAAUAAAAAUAUAUUUUUUUUAAAUUCAACUUUUGUAUGUGCAGUACAUGUAUGUGUUUGUGCAAUCCGGGCGGUUUUGCGCGCGCGAGAUGGGGUCAUGUUGUAAAAUAAAUAAAAAAAAAAAAAACGUGCUUCCCUCACUAUAUAUACUUGCAUGAGUGAGUAUAAAGAAAGAGGAGAUUCAGAAGAGUAUAAAGAGAAAGAGGAGAAGAAAAAAAAAUUCAAGAGAAAGAAAUACUUUGGCUUUUGCUUGCUUGGUUUUGCUUCGUGUGCACACAAGCAAUGUACACACUGUAGAUAAAAAAUUAUAAAAAAUAAAAAAAGUUGGAUAGGUUAGAAAUUGUUUGGCAGGUGGAAAUUUUUUAAAAAAAUUAGUGGCGCCAGUUGACUCUUGUAAACAGAUUAGAAAUCUAACUUACCAACUUGAUAAAAAGAAUAACAACAACAACAACAAUAACAAUGUCAAUUAUCAUCAAAAUAAAUAAAGCAAAACACGUGCUUGUUGCUUCAAAAAAAAUAAAAACUCCAUCAAUUUUUGGUGUAUUUUUUCAAUAAUGGCUGAAAAUUUAAACAUUGUCUUGGAAAGUCUAUCAAACAUGAGCAUGGACAAUAAAACAAUUGGUGAAAAAUAUAAAAAAUAUGGUGAAGAUUUUAAAAAAUUAUGGCAAUUGUUGCAACAAAAAAAACAAGA